GAUCAUGGCUCAGGAUGAACGCUAGCUACAGGCUUAACACAUGCAAGUCGAGGGGCAGCAUGAACUUAGCUUGCUAAGUUUGAUGGCGACCGGCGCACGGGUGAGUAACACGUAUCCAACCUGCCGAUGACUCGGGGAUAGCCUUUCGAAAGAAAGAUUAAUACCCGAUGGCAUAAUUCUUCCGCAUGGUAGAACUAUUAAAGAAUUUCGGUCAUCGAUGGGGAUGCGUUCCAUUAGGUUGUUGGCGGGGUAACGGCCCACCAAGCCUUCGAUGGAUAGGGGUUCUGAGAGGAAGGUCCCCCACAUUGGAACUGAGACACGGUCCAAACUCCUACGGGAGGCAGCAGUGAGGAAUAUUGGUCAAUGGACGAGAGUCUGAACCAGCCAAGUAGCGUGAAGGAUGACUGCCCUAUGGGUUGUAAACUUCUUUUAUACGGGAAUAAAGUGAGGCACGUGUGCCUUUUUGUAUGUACCGUAUGAAUAAGGAUCGGCUAACUCCGUG
rnacentral:rRNA from 1 species